rnacentral:misc_RNA from 1 species
AAGUUUUUGAACUUCCGGAUAUUACCUUGUCGGUCUUACCAGCAUCAGUAAAUAUUGGACCUGCAAAUUUAUCAUCUGAAGAUGCAUUGGAGUUAGAGAUGUCAAGGAUCUGACAGUCGUUGUUGAAUAUUUACAGCAAAGUACAAAAAAGGACUAUGCCAAGAGGAAAAGCAGGAACAAGUGCAGCUGCCAAGAAGCCAAGGGCUCCUAAAGGCCCAAAACUCCCUGCACCAUUUGCUAGUGGAACUAUUCUUCAAGAUCUAAAAAAGAAGCAAUGGAAGCUUGGAAAUGAAGUUGGCAAGGGAGGCUUUGGCCUAAUUUAUCUUGCAUCUGAAGAUGCAAACUCUCCAGUUCCUUCAACAGCUGAGCAUGUGAUAAAAAUAGAGCCACUGUCCAAUGGACCUUUGUUCUGUGAACUCCAUUUCUAUCAGCGUGUAUCUAAACCAGAUAUGAUUGAUGACUGGGUUAAAAACAAAAAGAUGAAAUACCUGGGAGUUCCAAAAUAUAUAGCCCAUGGCACUCAUCAGAGGGAUAAAGAGAACUUCCGAUUCAUGGUCAUGCCCCGCUUUGGAUCAGACUUGCAAAAAAUAUUUGAAGGUUGUGGAAAACAUUUUGCAAAGGAAACUGUACUGGCUUUAGGAUUAAGAAUGAUUGAUGCUUUAGAGUACCUUCAUGAGAAUGGUUAUGUCCAUGCUGAUAUCAAAGCCUCAAAUAUACUUCUAGGCUUCAGCAAUCAACAACAACUACAGGAUCAGGUAUUUUUGGUUGAUUAUGGCUUAGCCCUGAAAUACAGUCCAGACGGAUCUCACAAACAGUACAAAGAGGACCCCAGGAAAGCUCACGACGGCACCAUCGAGUUUACAAGUACUGAUGCCCACAAAGGAGUUGCUCCUUCACGAAGAGGAGACAUGGAGAUCCUGGCAUUUUGUAUGCUGCAGUGGCUGUGUGGAAAAUUGCCAUGGGAAGAUAAACUACUGGACAAAGAUUAUGUGGCAAACUCCAAAAUCAAGUAUAUGAAAAACAUUCCUUCCCUGAUGAAAGCUUGUUUUCCAAAUGGGGAAUCACAAGAUGAAAUUUCAACAUUUCUUACCAUGGUAUCAAAAUUGGGCUAUGAUGAGAAGCCAAAUUAUACAAAAUACAAGGAAGUGUUUAAAGGUGGACUGAAGAAGUUAGGUGUGAAAGAUGAAUGGAAACUCAGCCUACCGAUAUCAGGGCCAGCAAACAAAAGGGGACUCAAAAGGAAGAGUGAAGGAGGUGCUGAAUGUUCUACUCCAAAGAAAACAGCUGUGGAAAAAGUCAGAGGGACACCAAAAGCAGCUGCUGCCUCUGGUUCUCGUCAGGGUACACCAAAACUAGCUGCUAAGCGCAGGCAAGGCACCCCACAGGGAGGGAAGGGUAGAGGCACCCCUAAGGUUCCAGUGUCAGUGCAAUCUCCAGUAAACGGGAAGGCUGUAAAAAGUCCACAAAAACUCAAAAGUCCAACAAAAGUCAAAACUGUCAAAAGUCCAGUGAAAUCUCCAGCUAAAGGUACUUCCUGGAUUCAAUAUUGUUCUGUGUCUUGAUAUUGGUAUACAUCUUUUACACCUUGGAGUUGCUGAAAUAUUACAUGCAUAUAUUCAUGUGUACACUGUGUUUGUUUAAUAAUUGAAUGCCAAAAAUGUGUUCAAGUUGUCAUCAUAGUUGUGAUUACUGAUAAUUGUUAGAAUAUUGUGUCUGAUUAUGUUUAUGGUAAACAUUAAUGGUAUACAUUAAUUAUGUAUUAUGGUAUACAUUAUUUUGAUAUACCAGUACUCAUCUAAACACUAAACAGUUACUAUAGAGUCUCAUCAUUUCUCUUUGUGGAAUACAGUAUACUUUAUAGCCUGUUUUUAUUACCAGCACAAUAUUCAAUAUUUGCAUCGUUAGUGUGGCGAGAAUUCCAUUGUUUCUUACUUCUCAUUCACAGGCACUAGAUUAUCAAAACCAUCUACUACUCGCCGCAAAGUUAAAAGAAGUAAGGCUCCCAAAGUUGAUGCUUGUGUUCAGACCUCCCCCUGCUGAGUUUAAACAUAGUGAGAGAUAGAGAGUUACUUAUACAUGUAGGAUAGUCAUUCAUGUGUUCACAGGAAAACAGGCCCCCAACAGAAACUGUUUUUAUUUUUUGAUACAUGUAUGUGUACCAUUUUACUUGAACUGUCGAGGAACGCGUUACCAUUCUUGUUACAAAACAUAUACUUUAUUUGAUAAGAUCUUUUCUUGGUAUUAAUACAAUGACAUGACUGUAUGGUAACAGAACCUUAGUCACAGAAUGGUUAUUAAAAAAUCCUGAUAAGGAUAAUUUGCAUGUAUUGUGUACAUGUUCUUAUUGAAUUACUUUUCAUCAAUAUCUGUAGAUUUUCUUUAAAACUUAUGAUAAUUUUUUCAGAGGUUGUUAAAAUGUUUUAGAUAAAAAUAAAUUUUUUAAACAAUU